rnacentral:rRNA from 1 species
UUACCUACGGGACGCAGCAGUGGGGAAUAUUGGACAAUGGGGGAAACCCUGAUCCAGCGACGCCGCGUGAGUGAAGAAGUAUUUCGGUACGUAAAGCUCUAUCAGCAGGAAAGAAAAUGACGGUACCUGAAGAAGAAGCCCCGGCUAACUACGUGCCAGCAGCCGCGGUAAUACGUAGGGGGCAAGCGUUAUCCGGAUUUACUGGGUGUAAAGGGGGCGCAGACGGCGAUGCAAGCCAGGAGUGAAAGCCCGGGGCCCAACCCCGGGACUGCUC